rnacentral:misc_RNA from 1 species
UUUUUUUUUUUAAAAUUAAUAAUAUUCUAUAAUAUAAAAAAUAUCGUAAAAUAAUUCUUAAAAUGUGCCUUGGAGCGGAUUUCUUCUUCUCGAGAUAUUCCAAAUUUUCAAACUUAAUCAUACAGAAACAGCUAAACUAUCUAGGCUAGUUACAAUAUCCAUUAACAUCUUAUACGGUGUUACCCAUUUUCAUAGAUGCCAGGCAAAACAAUAGAUUCUAAGACGUUGCAUUCACAAAUGACAAUACAUCUACAGAAAGGGCUACUUCAAAAGGUUCUAAUAAUGACUCCUGUCAACCGAAAAAACUUCCAGGUAGCUUUUUCCACCAAUGAAAAUACACAAGGCCGAUCUUUGCAUUAAGGUCUGCCACUGUCAAAAUUAUCCCAUUUCACCUUAGCGUGCCACAGACAGUGAUCCUAGCGAACUCCAGUAUAAAACACC